UGAAAAGGGCUCUCAAAAGCUUAAAUGGA
rnacentral:piRNA from 1 species